rnacentral:ncRNA from 1 species
AUCCUAUAUAGAUGUAUUCAACGCAAGCUAGUUGGGCAUCUCCCUUUAGGAUGAAGUUUAGUUAGAGGCUCUGGCGAUAAUUCUCAUUGUGUGGCUACGGUCGAAAUGAGAUGAGUCAGAGUGGAAUAGGUUAACCGUAAGACCUUGGGUUGGAAAACUCUAAAAUUGAGCUAGAGAUGUGAAUUUCUUAAAAUUCGUAGUUUCUAGUUACGGUUGG